UUUUUUUUUUUUCUUUUUUUGUUUUGUUUUGUUUUCCAUUUACCUUGAAAUCUGUCUACAGAUCAAUGGCUCACAGAACAAUUUCCUGAGCAAGGACAGUUCUCGGCAUCAGCAGAUUUAUGUCAAAGGCUGCCAACAGAUGAAGUCAUGGAAGGAACAAAUUUAUAUUUAUCAGAAAAUUAAACAAUCUUGCAAACCUCUUUCAAUUUAAUCACACAAGUCCUGCUCUCCUGCCUAUGAUCCAAGCACCCACGGGGAUUAAGAGCAUUACAAGAAGAAACACUUUGCCCAAGCAAAUUAUUCCCUUACAAACACAGAAGAGAAAGAACACCAGAUGUUCAAAAAGAAUUGGGUGUAGGUUUAAGAAUCAAAAAGGAUGAUGAAUAUGGACCAUGAAAUGGAGCAUUAAGCAAUGUGAUAAGCAUCUGUUGAGUAAUAAACCCAGUCUUUGUGCAGUUCUUUCUUCAAAGUGAAUUUAAUGGAAAAGUUUUUCAGUCAUAAAACAUUGGUCCUUUAAAGAAUGGUAUUUUAUGUGUUAAUAAUCACCCACCACCAAAUAAAACACUAUUUAUCUAUGAAAUAGAAGCCUUGCACUUUUAUCAAUUGAUAAAUAAAGGGCUGCUUUUAAGGCUAUAAAAUCAGAUGGGAAGCCACAAGUGACCCACCUUGUGAGAAAACACAAGCAGAGACAGAACCCUUGGAAAACACCUGCACAGUGCAUUUCAUCCCAGGUUUUUCCACUGAGGAUGCACAGCUUGGGAUGGGCAUCCUGGCAUCACUGCAGGGACCUUGGCCCAGAAACCUCUGUGAAUAAAAAAUAUGACGUCCUCAGCAUCUUUAAAGUAAUUUAUUUAAGUACAUUUACCUUGUACUGAAGCCUUUGACAAGGCAGAAUCAAAAUUAAUCUGAUAAUCCCAUUAUUAAAAAAUCAGCAAACUCUGGGCUUCCUCCUCAGUUCACCACAUAAUUUCUCAUAAGGAAAGCAGGAGCAUAUGACACAUGCUGUUUUAACUGAUUUGCAAAUUAAACUAGAAUAGUUUAAUAAUUAAGCUAGAAGAGUUAAUACUUCCUCUUUGUUCCUGUAGGAUUCCGGAGGGAUGACUGAGUGGCUCCAAACACUGAUGUGGGAAGUGUGGGAGGAACAGGGCGAGACCUACACAGGUGGGAUGUCACUGCUGCACCUCCAGCGCCUGAGCCACCCACACACACAAACGGAGGCGGCUCAAUGCACGGCCUGGCACAGAAUGGCAGAGUUACCCACAGCCUGGCACAGAAUGGCAGAGUUACCCACAGCCUGGCACAGAAUGGCAGAGUGACCCAUGGCCUGGCACAGAAUGGCAGAGUUACCCAUGGCCUGGCACAGAAUGGCAGAGUUACCCACAGCCUGGCACAGAAUGGCAGAAGUGACUGCACAGACUCACACAAAAUGGCGGAGUGUCCCACACCCUCAAACAAAAUGUCUGUCAGACUCCAAAGCCUGACACAAAAUGGCGCUCUGACCCCACAGCCCGACACAAAAUGUCUGUCUGACGCCACAGCCCGACACACACAGACCCUUUCCCUGCUUUGCCCUUCUCCAGAGUGGCAGACACCGACUCCCCCACCUUCUCCUGCCCUUGCCCAAGAUGCUGGCCCCGGCAGGGAGAGUGGCCAUGGCCCCACUCACCCUCCAGGCGCUUCACAGCCGGGCUCAGAGCAGGAGAAUUCACCAGAGACCGAGAUACAAAACUCCUGGGGACAAGCAACACAAGUCAGAUUAACAUCCCAGAGAGAGUAACCACCAGUGCCUUUGGAAAUAAUGCUGAUUUUCCCGGGGUGUGUUUUAGCAGCACCCCGGGCUCUGGUUUGAAGCGGGAGCUCAUUUGGCUGACUGCUCUGGGUUUCUGGGAAGCUGGUUGCUCUGGAAAACUUCAGGUGAACAGCAGAAUCCCUGCUUUUGUAUCUGGCUAUGAGCAUUUGUGCUCUAUUCCAUCCCUGCUGGCCUAAAUGUGCACAGCUCCUUUCUCUAAAGGCUGAAUUCACAGUCUGCAUUUCCAUGCUGCUACUUUAGAACAGCUUUUACCUGCAAACAGCUGUACUCUGAAGGGAGUCUGCAAGCAAAACACCUGGGAAGUUCAGGGAUUCCAUUCCUCUGCCAGUAUUUCAAGUCACUGCUCAAGUCCUACUGACCCUCUGCUCUGAGCCAACUCUUCCAUCUUUACCCUUUAUUUUAAUGACUGAUUAGAAUUUCUAACUUAACUUCUUACUCCAGAAUGUGUUGCUGCUCAUCUUUCACCUUCUCACCUUUGGACGUUCAUGCAUUAUUUACUUUCCCACUUCUUACUAAUUUUUAUCUGUGUUCUGCAGGUGACUAGACCAGCUUUGUUAAUCUCUCAGUGAACUGCAGAUCAGCAGCUGCUGCGCUGUUGUAACAGAUCAGUGAAAUAAUUUUUCAUUAUUUCUCAGCUUUUGGAAAAAACCCACCUCACGUGAACGCUUCGGUGUCUGGACAUAAAAACCAUCAUCUCCACAAACACAGAAUUAAGCUGCAGUCUUGUUCCAGGUCAGGCCUCCCAUUUUUUGUAUCAAUCAGCAACACAAACCCAUGUGCCUGCUACACCCACAGCACAAGGGUUCCCUCUUCCAGCCCAUCCAGGGGGAAGAUCCAGCCCGCCCUGGGCGGCAGCAGGAGAGGAGAAGUGUCCCAGUCCCUGCAGGUGUAACAGCAUUUAAAAAUCAACCCCUGCAACCCACCCUCAUCAGGCUUGGGGGGAUUCUGCACAGGGCCUGAAAGAGGGAACUGAGCAAUGAAACCACACUUGGGUACAAACAUUCUCUGCCAUGACAAUGUAACAGGACACACCAUUUUAAACAGAGGUAGGACUGAUUCUCACUCCUCUGUUAUGUCAGAAAUCCAAACUCAGACUCUCCCUUUCUCCAUCUUUCCUUCACAAGCUGCAUCCAGCUCAGUCAUGGUAACAAGAGCAGAAGUGUUUCUGGCAGACACAACAUUUAAACUUACAUCCUUCUAGGAAUGUUAGAGCUCAGUUAUAGGUCUGCUGGCACCAAUUACCAACUUGCCACAUCUCAGAGAAUUCUCACACGUAAACAGGGUACUGCAAAAAAUGGCACUGCCUCCUCCAAUAAUCAAUUGUUUAAAUAAAGCAGAUCAACAUACAUUUUACUCUCAAAAUAUCCUAUUACUCUAUAUGUAGCCACAAUAUUAUACAGCAUUUCUCAGGGGGGUGGAAUUAAAUCCAUAACAAAGCACAGAAUCAUCCAAGAUACUGCUGCACAGUGAGGAGGACAUAUACUUUUAUUGAGAUUGAAGCAAUCAUCUCCAGAGGCUCAGGAACAGUUGUUCAGUGCUGUGACAGUCACACUACCCCAGUGACAAUUUCCUGCCUUUAUUCCUACUCCAGAGUUACUGAGGGAGUGAUUGCAAAGCCUUUGGUGUCAAUUUGCUGUGAUACAAUUAGCAAAGAGAGCAAGUGAAUUCCCUUUUUUCAUCCACACUACAACAACGGAGUCUAAAGAACAGAAAUUGGCCUAAAGCAUGACUUACCUGAAUGAUUACAGAAAAUAAAAAUCCUCAGCUAAACACCCUGAAACACAACAGCACAUGGAGACAGGUGGAGAUCCAGCAGAAUCUCACUUACCUGUAGAACUCUUGUACAACCAAGCACAACCAAGUGGAUCCCUCUUGAAGGAAAAUGUGCAAUUUUGAACUAAAAGCUGCUCUUUGAGGAAGGCACAGAGAACAUAAAACUGCAGUGAACAUUUAGAUUUGAGUGCAAACUCUCUCAGCUACCUUUUCCUUUUCCUUACGAGAACCAUUUCAGAUCCAGCUUCAGGUAUCUUCAUGCCUUUUGAGGGCACUUUGAAGCAAAAUAACUGAUUUUAAUUUUUUUACAAAGUACAUUACAAGUGAAGGGAGGAAAAUGCUGGUCAAUGAAUAUUUGAUCUCUCCACAUUUCCAGGAAACACAGAAUUAAGUCUCAAAAAGCUAAUGAAAUCUUGCUUGAGGGAUUUGCCCUUUAUGAGGGUCACAUGAGUGCCCCAUCUUUUUCUGGUAUUUAUGAAGGUGAUUUGAACAGAA
rnacentral:lncRNA from 1 species